rnacentral:rRNA from 1 species
GACGAACGCUGGCGGCGUGCCUAAUACAUGCAAGUCGAACGCUUCUUUCCUCCCGAGUGCUUGCACACAAUUGGAAAGAGGAGUGGCGGACGGGUGAGUAACACGUGGGUAACCUACCCAUCAGAGGGGGAUAACACUUGGAAACAGGUGCUAAUACCGCAUAACAGUUUAUGCCGCAUGGCAUAAGAGUGAAAGGCGCUUUCGGGUGUCGCUGAUGGAUGGACCCGCGGUGCAUUAGCUAGUUGGUGAGGUAACGGCUCACCAAGGCCACGAUGCAUAGCCGACCUGAGAGGGUGAUCGGCCACACUGGGACUGAGACACGGCCCAGACUCCUACGGGAGGCAGCAGUAGGGAAUCUUCGGCAAUGGACGAAAGUCUGACCGAGCAACGCCGCGUGAGUGAAGAAGGUUUUCGGAUCGUAAAACUCUGUUGUUAGAGAAGAACAAGGACGUUAGUAACUGAACGUCCCCUGACGGUAUCUAACCAGAAAGCCACGGCUAACUACGUG